rnacentral:rRNA from 1 species
UACAGAGGUCUCAAGCGUUGUUCGGAUUCAUUGGGCGUAAAGGGUGUGUAGGCGGCGCCGUAAGUCAGGUGUGAAAUUUCGGAGCUUAACUCCGAAACUGCAUUUGAUACUGCGGUGCUUGAGGACUGGAGAGGAGACUGGAAUUUACGGUGUAGCGGUGAAAUGCGUAGAUAUCGUAAGGAAGACCAGUGGCGAAGGCGGGUCUCUGGACAGUUCCUGACGCUGAGACACGAAGGCCAGGGGAGCAAACGGG